AGCCAUUCAGUGGCCUUUUCCUGAUUUUUGAGCAUGGGUGGCCAAACCUGAACAAGCCAGUUCCAUCCCAGUGGUGAUUCCAGCACGAGAUCUUUGCUGCACCAAGUAUUCCACCAGUGGAGAAUCCUGGAGAGGUGAUAAAGGGAAAUGCAAGUGACCUCCAGAGCAAGCCCUGCAGAGUUCCUCUGAUUCUGACUGCUCCCUAUCAAAAUUCCAUGCUGACUCUUUGUCCAGAGCAAUGAUGUCCAAACUGCUUUUGUGGGAGCCUCAGUUCCCAAAACCAUGACAGAAAAACCACUGGAAAAAAUACCCACUGAAUUCCAGUAUGGACAGGGAUCCACAGAAAGGGAUAGGGGACUUGGAGACUCCCAAUUUGUGCACAGCUGAUACAAAACCAGGGUUUGGAGUUCAUGGCUGCUGACAGGAUGAGAAGGGGACGUGACCUGUUCACUCAAAGGUCACCUGGAGAAGGCUACAUUUUGGAGGAGUUGACAGACUUCACUGGUUGUCUGCCUUUCUCUUCUUGGAACAGCCAUUCCAUUCCAAAAAGCCUUUACAAACUUCCCAGCAUGGUGGUGAGGUCCUCAGCAUGGAAGAAUAAAAUAAGAGCACUCUUUCUGCAGAGCUGCUGUUCUCCUCUGCUCCUAGACUGUUCCUACUCCCAGUCAAGCACACAGCUUGCCAGCUGAUUUGUGGCUGUUUGCCACAUGCUCCCAGUUUCCUUUACACUUGCCUGGCACUUCCUUGCAGAAAUAGAGCACAGAAGAGCCCCUCAUGGACCACCUGGCUUCAAGCACAGAGACACAGCUGUCCCCUCAGUCUGAGUAACACCAGGAUGUGGCACCUCCUGGGGCUCUGCAGGCUCUGAGAGCUCAGAAAGGCAGAGACAGAGGCCCCACGGGUGUUCCUUGGCAUUCCCACACCUCUCUCCUUGCUGGGUGUCCCUGAUGGCCUUUGUAAAUCAUUCAUGAAAGAUAUUUCUGAAUAAAUACUUUCUCUGUUA